rnacentral:rRNA from 1 species
UACGUAGGGGGCGAGCGUUGUCCGGAAUUAUUGGGCGUAAAGAGCGUGUAGGCGGUUCGGUAAGUCUGCCGUGAAAUCCUGGGGCUCAACCCUCGAAUGCCGGUGGAUACUGUCGGGCUUGAGUACGGGAGAGGCGAGUGGAAUUCCUGGUGUAGCGGUGAAAUGCGCAGAUAUCAGGAGGAACACCGAUUGCGAAGGCAGCUCGCUGGAACGUUACUGACGCUGAGACGCGAAAGCGUGGGGAGCAAACAGG